UGGAAAAAGGCUUUACGAUCAUACUAAUGAUCAUGACCAUAAAAAUAUUCCCACUAGGUUUUCUACAUGCUGCUUUGUUAGCAGUCAAUCUGGGGACACUU
rnacentral:snoRNA from 1 species